rnacentral:lncRNA from 1 species
UAGUCUGUAGGCAGCGGUACCAAUCAUGUCUAAGACUUCAAAUAGUCUAAUAAAUCGGGGGUUCAGUUUUUCUCUCCUGCCGAACCUACUAAUUCCCUUGAAAUGAGUGACCUUAAGGAACACCCCGUCGCCUUUCUCAAACGUUAAAUCUCUCCUUCAGGUGUCUGCAUAACUCUUUUGCCUGCUCUGAGCCGUCUGAGUGUUACUCCUGAUCUUAACUAUCUUGGAUGUAGUCUCCUCUACCAGCUACAGGCCGAACAAUUUUCUAUUGCCUAUUUCUUCCCAACAAAUUGGCGAUCUGUAUGGGUGCACAUAUAACGCCUCAUACGGAGCCAUGCCAAUGCUCGCUUGGUAGCUGUUGUUGUAGGCAAACUCUAUCAGGGGUAGACGGUCGUCCCAAUGGCCCCUAGAGUCAACGACACAAGCUUGAAGCAUAUCCUCAAGUU